UACGGAGGGGGCAAGCGUUAUUCGGAAUUAUUGGGCGUAAAGGGCGCGUAGGCGGCUAGAUGUGUCAAAGGUGAAAUCCCUCGGCUCAACUGAGGAACUGCCUUUGAAACUGUCUGGCUUGAGGCCGGGAGAGGGUAGCGGAAUUCCCAGUGUAGCGGUGAAAUGCGUAGAUAUUGGGAGGAACACCAGUGGCGAAAGCGGCUUUCUGGGACAUUCCUGACACUGAGGUUCGAAAGCUCGGGGAGCAAACAGG
rnacentral:rRNA from 1 species